rnacentral:rRNA from 1 species
GACGAACGCUGGCGGCGUGCUUAACACAUGCAAGUCGAACGGAAAGGCCCUGCGUUUGUGGGGUGCUCGAGUGGCGAACGGGGGAGUAACACGUGAGUAACCUGCCCUUGACUGUGGGAUAACUUCAGGAAACUGGGGCGAAUACCGGAUAGGAGCUCCUGCUGCAUGGUGGGGGUUGGAAAGUGUCGGCGGUUGGGGAUGGACUCGCGGGUUAUGAGCUUGUUUGGGAGGUAGGGGCUUUCCAAGGCUUUGACGGGUAGCCGGCCUGAGAGCGUGACCGGCCACCUGGGGCCUGCGGUACGGCCCAGACUCCUACGGGCGGCAGCAGUGGGGAGUAUUGCGCAAUGGGCGGGCGCCUGAUGCAACAGCCCUGCGUGCGGAAUGACGUCCUUCGGGUUGUAAACCGCUUUCGCAUGUGCCGAAGCGUGAGUGACGGUACUGGGUCAAGAAGCCCCGGCUAACUACGUG